GACGAACGCUGGCGGCGUGCCUAACACAUGCAAGUCGAACGGAGCAGAUCCCUUCGGGGGUUUGCUUAGUGGCGAACGGGUGAGUAACGCGUGAGGAACCUGCCUUUCAGUGGGGGACAACAGUUGGAAACGACUGCUAAUACCGCAUAAUGCUUUUGAGCGGCAUCGCUUGAAAGCCAAAAGAUUUAUCGCCGAAAGAUGGUCUCGCGUCUGAUUAGCUAGUUGGUGAGGUAACGGCCCACCAAGGCGACGAUUGGUUGCCGGACUGAGAGGUUGAACGGCCACAUUGGGACUGAGACACGGCCCAG
rnacentral:rRNA from 1 species